rnacentral:rRNA from 1 species
GAUGAACGCUGGCGGCGUGCCUAAUACAUGCAAGUCGAGCGAACAGACGAGGAGCUUGCUCCUCUGACGUUAGCGGCGGACGGGUGAGUAACACGUGGAUAACCUACCUAUAAGACUGGGAUAACUUCGGGAAACCGGAGCUAAUACCGGAUAAUAUAUUGAACCGCAUGGUUCAAUAGUGAAAGACGGUUUUGCUGUCACUUAUAGAUGGAUCCGCGCCGCAUUAGAUAGUUGGUAAGGUAACGGCUUACCAAGGCAACGAUGCGUAGCCGACCUGAGAGGGUGAUCGGCCACAUGGGAACUGAGACACGGUCCAGACGCCUACGGGAGGCAGCAGUAGGGAAUCGUCCGCAAUGGGCGAAAGCCUGACGGAGCAACGCCGCGUGAGUGAUGAAGGUCUUCGGAUCGUAAAACUCUGUUAUUAGGGAAGAACAAAUGUGGAAGUAACUAUGCACGUCUUGACGGUACCUAAUCAGAAAGCCACGGCUAACUACGUG